UUGCACUGGUUAAUCUAGUGGCGAACGGGUGAGUAACACGUGGGUAACCUGCCCAUCAGAGGGGGAUAACAUCCGGAAACGGAUGCUAAAACCGCAUAGGUCUUCGAGCUGCAUGGCUUGAAGAGGAAAAGAGGCGCAAGCUUCUGCUGAUGGAUGGACCCGCGGUGCAUUAGCUAGUUGGUGAGGUAACGGCUCACCAAGGCCGUGAUGCAUAGCCGACCUGAGAGGGUGAUCGGCCACAUUGGGACUGAGACACGGCCCAAACUCCUACGGGAGGCAGCAGUAGGGAAUCUUCCGCAAUGGACGCAAGUCUGACGGAGCAACGCCGCGUGAGUGAAGAAGGUUUUCGGAUCGUAAAACUCUGUUGUUAGAGAAGAACAAGUGCUAGAGUAACUGUUAGCGCCUUGACGGUAUCUAACCAGAAAGCCACGGCUAACUACGUGCCAGCAUCCGCGGUAAUACGUAGGUGGCAAGCGUUGUCCGGAUUUAUUGGGCGUAAAGCGAGCGCAGGCGGUUCCUUAAGUCUGAUGUGAAAGCCCCCGGCUCAACCGGGGAGGGUCAUUGGAAACUGGGGAACUUGAGUGCAGAAGAGGAGAGUGGAAUUCCAUGUAUAGCGGUGAAAUGCGUAGAUAUAUGGAGGAACACCAGUGGCGAAGGCGACUCUCUGGUCUGUAACUGACGCUGAGGCUCGAAAGCGUGGGUAGCAAACAGGAUUAGAUACCCUGGUAGUCCACGCCGUAAACGAUGAG
rnacentral:rRNA from 1 species